rnacentral:lncRNA from 13 species
UGUUCCUGCCAUUGGACACCAGAUGAUGACCCGAAAACCUAAACCUUCAUGUUCAUCAAAAUCCGUGAAUUACUUCUGAAGCUGUCACUUUAUUUCCAGCAAAUAGCUGUGCAAUUCUCUAAAAUAGGGGAUUCUACUGAGCUGAGGGCAUUUCAUCGAUGGGAAAUGAGCACAGUCUCCAGUUGUCAUCUGCUCAGUCCUCCUGUCCCGAUUGAGUCUGAAUGUCUACAUGUCCUAGAACAAAUCGUCAAUGUUUCCCCCCUGCAGCUUCAAGUUCUCUGUGUUCAGAUUUCUUCAGGAAGAAAAUAAUAUAAUGAAUCACCGGGUAUCCAACACAUUGGGCCUCUCAGUGGUGAGAAAGCAUUUGAAUGAGUUUCGUCGACAAAUGUUCACCACCCAGCAAUGGGACUGGCACGAGGAUGAAGGAAUCAGUGAGUGUCCCCCUUACAUCAUGCAGUCGGUCUGUCUUGCAAAGUUUGCAACCCAGACUCUUCAGAUGGCUCGUGCUUUUUAAAUUCAAACAAACUGUUCAAACUUCCUUUGUCUCUCUUUUCCUGCAGGUACACCAUCAGAGAAGGAAUGCAGAUUUUCACCUAUCCACAAAGCUUGGCAAGCUCUUUACUGAUGAAGAAAUUGAGGUCUCAGCACAUACAAACAUCGACUUGACUCAAGAGCCCACACAUGUCAUCGCUGUGUUCUGUGUGACCUCCAGGAUCCUUCGCACUACGGCCUAGAGCUCACUCUUAUUACCCCUGGAAGGGACCAGAACCCCCAUCCCUGGGGAAUGGAGGACCAUCUUCUGCAGUUGGCUGGAUGGACACUGUCCACUGAGAAAUAGGACACCUAGAAGCAGGAGAUCUGGGGAAGAGAAGCCUUGGCAAUGCCCUUCUUGACCUGUUGGAUGAAAAAGGCCUAGUGGGCUGAGCCCCAGUUUUGGGGCAGGAAGGCAAGAUUUGCAGGCCCAAGUCAGCUCCCAUCGCUGAGGCUCUCCCAAGCCUCCUGGGGCAUUUAAGGAGGAGGCUAAUGUCAAACAUGGAGUGGCCCAAUUUCUGUUCGAAUCUGAUAUGAGGACCUGGGAUGAGGGGGACAAAGGUGUGGGGAGAGGGUAGGCCUAUUUCUCUGGGUGCAGCUUCCCUAGAUGAAGCAGAGCAGAGAGUCCCCGACUCUGGUUCCAGAAAAAGGGAAAUGCUCACUCACUGGGUGACUGAAUUUGAGAUAAGCAUCUCCUGAUGUCCCUCUGUUCACAUCUUCUACAUCUUACUUGUAUCCCAUAUCCUCUUACUAGCUGUGUGAUUUGGGCCAAUUUCUGUUUGUCAGUUUCUCCACCUGUAAAACAGGUAUAAUAACAGUAUCCAGCACCCAGAGCCAUAGUGAGGCUUAAAGAGUUCCAUGUGUGUGUGAAACACUCAGCACAGGGCCUGGCACACAGGCAGCACUCGGUCAGUGUUAGCUAGGAGUCACAGGUCCCUGUUGAGACCAGAAUAAUAAGUUCUUUUUCCACAAGAGACACUUCGGAUAGAUCAAAGAACUAUUAAACAGGCUCAGACACAUAAGAUUAUUCUACAAAGAAAACAGAAGUAUCUCCUUCCUGGGACCCCUGUAGAAACUAUUGUUGCUCAGGUGAAAUGAUAACAAACGUUUAUUGAGGACCUACUGUAUGCUGGACACUUCUGCGUGCAUCAGCUCAUGGAGUCUUUAUAGCCCUCUGCAGGGCGUUUUCCUUUUAUGGAAAAG